AAGAUCAUCCCCAAAUGUAAGCAUCAGUAGCAAGUUCCGGAGUGAAGCACUUGAAGUCUGGUGGGGAGGGAGUAACUACCAGCCAUUCCUCCGGGAUCGGCUCCGGCGGAAAUAAACUGCCUAGGAAUUUGCGGAACCUGUCUCAAAAUGGGCUCCAUCAAAUUUACCAUUCCUCCGGGCCUUGGCAGUCUGCCCUCACAAGCUUCAGACAAGUAGAAUUUAAGCCUGGAAGAGAGCAAAACAGGUUACCACGCUGCGGUGACCACACAGAGCCGCAGAAGGCCGGCCUCACCGUCACCCGCUUCCGACCACACCACCGCUCUCCCGGGCCUCGCUCGAGGGCUCGCUGGCUAGGCUGCCCUACUACGCCACACCGCCGGCGCCGCCGCCUGGCUCCUGCUCCUGCUCCUGCCGCGGGGUCCUCUUCCCUACGCCUCCUCCACCGCACCGGCUCCUCAGCGCCGGCCUCACACUGGCUCCCGGUCCUGUCUCCUAGUCCACCGCCGCCACUCCGUCCGCUGGCACCGCUAGUCCUGAGCUCCACGUCCAACGCCACUACCACGUCGGCAGUAACUCUUGGUCUUCAAUCGUUAGCAAAGUCCAUCUAG
rnacentral:lncRNA from 1 species